GUUUGAGGGAUUAUGGAGGACAGGGGAGGUGUGAUGGAGUCCUAGAGAAAUUGAGCAAAUUGGCACGUUGAUUUUCUAUGAAUUUUAUAGAUUUUAGUCCCUUUUGACAUUGACAAUUGGAAAGAAAUUGAUAUAUUGUAGCGAAGAAGAAGGUGAAGAAGACAUGCCCCCCCCCUUCCGUAUCAGUCCCCCAUUCGGAGAUAGAUUUGCAUUAAAGUUCUGUAAGAACUUGCAAAUCUUUUCUCCGCACCCUAAAUCUCGGUGAAGGUAGGGGUGCCCUGUGAGUGGGAAUAGGCUCUAAUGGAAAAGGAGGUGGGUUGAGCAGGGCAGCAAAGGAGGGAGCAACACGGACCAAUACAAUGUACGUGUAUGUUAUAUAGGUAUGCACUAAAUAAUAACUUGGUAUCCACCGUACCAGAUGUGUGGGUUUGUGCAAACCUGAAGGGGACUUGCAAACCAUGCCUCUUAAGGUCAUUUGCAAGUAUAGUAGUGCAGAUAGCUGGAUAUAGGAUAUCACAUAAAAGAACACCUGUUGUAUUUUGUUCAAUAGUGGUCUAUGCUUUACAUUUAGCAGGAAGGUCCACUACUGACUGGAAAAAAAAAAUGCAGUUUGAUUUUUUUUUUUUUUAGCUCCACCGUUUUUGUGUUCUCAGGUGCGAAGGUAGCUCUUCUGUGGUCUCACACCGGCAUAGUGUCACAGUAGUGGCAAUCCCUGGUGAAUCCACUUAGGGCUUUCAUAUUAACCAUGUUGCAUGGCACUCACCACAGCUGGCACAGGUUUGGACACGUCAUGAGAGUAAUGUCUUUGCCUUGGCCAUUCUAUGGGAUUUUAUUAUUAUAGGCUCUGGUCUUGCAGUCAUGGGAAGCUACUUGCAGCCUGGAUACACUUGCCCAAUUCAAACUGAGUCCAAUUUGAAUUUAUCUUGCCCCAUGGUUCUCAACUUUUCAAACCAAUCUGUUAAAGCAAAACCACUCUUAAGGGGCACUUGUCCAAAAAAGUCAAUUUAACUCUAUAAGGGAUUAUUCCUGCUAAACCAAAGCAUAUACACCUUCCUGAAGCUCCUCCUUGGUAAAGUGAGUUUUAGCACAUUUUAAAAUGGGUAGGGAAGUUGGCAGAGUGCCAGGUGAAACAACGAAAUGUGGCUAUAAAUUUAUCUAAUUCUAAACAUUGGACUACAUAAUAGCCUGAUCUGUUAAAAGGCAUAAAAUGUAUGAGAAUCCUCCACUGGGGUGUAAGGAAUAAGACAUUAAACAUAAAAACAAUUACACACAAAAAUAGCCCC